rnacentral:tRNA from 1 species
UAUUCCCACCCGGCUUUUCUCCGAGAUCUGCGGCCUGAAAAGCCGGCGUUAAACUAACUUUAACUAUGGANNCCUAAU